UACGUAGGGUGCGAGCGUUAAUCGGAAUUACUGGGCGUAAAGCGUGCGCAGGCGGUUUUGUAAGCCAGAUGUGAAAGCCCCGGGCUUAACCUGGGAAUGGCAUUUGGGACUGCGAGGCUGGAGUGUGGCAGAGGAGACUGGAAUUCCUGGUGUAGCAGUGAAAUGCGUAGAUAUCAGGAGGAAUACCGAUGGCGAAGGCAGGUCUCUGGGCUGACACUGACGCUCAUGCACGAAAGCGUGGGGAGCAAACAGG
rnacentral:rRNA from 1 species